rnacentral:rRNA from 1 species
AGAGUUUGAUCAUGGCUCAGGAUGAACGCUAGCGGGAGGCUUAACACAUGCAAGUCGAGGGGCAGCAUUAUCUGCUUGCAGAUAGAUGGCGACCGGCGGACGGGUGCGUAACGCGUAUAUAACUUGCCUAUCACUAGAGGAUACCCAUUGGAAACGAUGAAUAAGACUCUAUAGGCUGUAGAUUUGCAUAAAUUUAACAGUAAAGGUUACGGUGGUAGAUAGGUAUGCGUCCAAUUAGCUAGUUGGUAAGGUAAUGGCUUACCAAGGCGAUGAUUGGUAGGGGGCCUGAGAGGGCGAACCCCCACACUGGUACUGAGACACGGACCAGACUCCUACGGGAGGCAGCAGUGAGGAAUAUUGGUCAAUGGAGGGAACUCUGAACCAGCCAUCCCGCGUGUAGGAAGACGGCCUUAUGGGUUGUAAACUACUUUUAUACAGGAAGAAACUUAUCCACGAGUGGAUAACUGACGGUACUGUAGGAAUAAGCACCGGCUAACUCCGUGCCAGCAGCCGCGGUAAUACGGAGGGUGCGAGCGUUAUCCGGAUUUAUUGGGUUUAAAGGGUCCGUAGGCGGGCUAAUAAGUCAGUGGUGAAAUCCCGUCGCUUAACGAUGGAACUGCCAUUGAUACUGUUAGUCUUGAAUAAGGUUGCAGUGGUUGGAAUGUGUAGUGUAGCGGUGAAAUGCUUAGAUAUUACACAGAACACCAAUUGCGAAAGCAGAUCACUAAGCCUUUAUUGACGCUGAGGGACGAAAGCGUGGGGAGCGAACAGGAUUAGAUACCCUGGUAGUCCACGCCGUAACGAUGAUUACUCGGUGUUGGGUCUAAAUUAGAUUCAGUGCCUAAGCGAAAGUGAUAAGUAAUCACCUGGGGGAGUACGUUCGCAGAUGAAACUCAAAGGAUGACGG